UCUCCGUUGGUGAACCAGCGGAGGGAUCAUUACCGAGUUUACAACUCCCAAACCCCUAUGUGAACGUUACCAAACUGUUGCCUCGGCGGGAAAUUCAUGCCCCGGGCGCGUCGCAGCCCCGGACCAAGGCGCCCGCCGGAGGACCAACCAAAACUCUUUUGUAUGUCCCUCGCGGACUUUUAUAAUUCUGAACCAUCUCGGCGCCCCUAGCGGGCGUUUCGAAAAUGAAUCAAAACUUUCGACAACGGAUCUCUUGGUUCUG
rnacentral:misc_RNA from 1 species